UACGAAGGGGGCUAGCGUUGUUCGGAAUCACUGGGCGUAAAGCGCACGUAGGCGGAUCCUUAAGUCAGGGGUGAAAUCCCGAGGCUCAACCUCGGAACUGCCUUUGAUACUGGGAAUCUUGAGUCCGGGAGAGGUGAGUGGAAUUGCGAGUGUAGAGGUGAAAUUCGUAGAUAUUCGGAAGAACACCAGUGGCGAAGGCGGCUCACUGGACUGGUAUUGACGCUGAGGUGCGAAAGCGUGGGGAGCAAACAGG
rnacentral:rRNA from 1 species